GGGGGCAUAGCUCCGUGGUGGAACGCGUGCUUAGCAUGCACAAGGUCCUGGGUUCAAUCCCCAGUACCUCCA
rnacentral:tRNA from 1 species